AAGCCGGCCUGGUCGGUGAUCGCGAUGACCGACACCCGGUCGGUCCACAGCAGAUGAGCGAUCUGAUGGGCGAUGGUCCAGCCCUCGGCCGGCGUG
rnacentral:tRNA from 1 species